UUCCCGCAUUUUACUGGUGGGCGACCUAGAGCUGAAAUGUAUUCCCGCAUUUUACUGGUGGGCGACCUAGAGCUGAAAAGUAUUCCCGCAUUUUACUGGUGGGCGACCUAGAGCUGAAAUGUAUUCCCGCAUUUUACUGGUGGGCGACCUAGAACUGAGAUGUAUUCCCGCAUUUUGCUGGUGGGCGACCUAGAGCUGAAAAGUAUUAAAAUUGUUUCCUCGUUCUUCCGAGAAAAUUUUUGACAAUCGGCAGAAAAUUUUCUGCCCCGGUUUUGGUGAUU
rnacentral:lncRNA from 1 species